rnacentral:lncRNA from 1 species
UCAACAUUACCACCAAACUUGGAAUUGGUUGUGCCUGCUGAGCCGUAAUUCAGCAUUACCGCCAAAGUUUUAGUAGGCCGUACUCACUGAGCCAUAAUUCAGUGUUAGGAUUGAGUAUUCGAGAUGACUGUGUUGGUCGUGCUCGCUGAGCCGUAAUUCAGCAGUGAAUUUGAGUAAAUGAGAUGAGCCGACCAAGAAAGGGUCAAGAUGAUAUGUAAUCAACUAGGUCGAUUGAUCAUUACUUUGAUAUGAUAUCGUGAAUUGAUUGAUUGAAUUGAAAUGACCGAUGAAUGGUUCGAUUGACAUGAAAUCGACUACGUCGAUUAAUCGAGAUAACGAUCUGUGAUGUGAUUACUUGGGUGCCUAUUGAACUGUGCUAAUAUGCAAGUGGAAUCUGAGGCCAAGGUAAGUCAUCUGACCAGUGCAUACAUAGGCAGCCUAGUUAGCAUAUUGUUUUACUAAUCAAAUCUUAGGGGGAAGAACUCGCUAAGAUGUGGUCUCAAUGGUUAUUAUAUAACAAUUUUGAGACCCUGAUGAGGAGCCUGAGAAGGAGGAACCUGAGGAGGAGAACUCUGAUGUGAAACUUGAGGAGGAGGAAAAUUUAGAAGAAGAAGAUAAUCCAGAGGAAGCUCCUGAGUACGAUCCGGAUGAGGACUGAGAUCCCAUCCUGUUUUGUCAGACCUUGAUUAUAUGUGGAUAAGUGUUAGAUCAGACCCCUGUGAAUAGUAUUGCAUUAUAUACUAUGAGGUGCUUGUAUAAAAGUGUGGUUAUGAAUUUCAGUAUGAAAAUUAUAACUCUGCUUUUCUAUCACAUUGAUUUAUUGUCUAAG